AAUUGAAGAGUUUGAUCAUGGCUCAGAUUGAACGCUGGCGGCAGGCCUAACACAUGCAAGUCGAACGGUAACAGGAAUCAGCUUGCUGAUUCGCUGACGAGUGGCGGACGGGUGAGUAAUGUCUGGGAAACUGCCUGAUGGAGGGGGAUAACUACUGGAAACGGUAGCUAAUACCGCAUAACGUCGCAAGACCAAAGAGGGGGACCUUCGGGCCUCUUGCCAUCGGAUGUGCCCAGAUGGGAUUAGCUUGUUGGUGGGGUAACGGCUCACCAAGGCGACGAUCCCUAGCUGGUCUGAGAGGAUGACCAGCCACACUGGAACUGAGACACGGUCCAGACUCCUACGGGAGGCAGCAGUGGGGAAUAUUGCACAAUGGGCGCAAGCCUGAUGCAGCCAUGCCGCGUGUA
rnacentral:rRNA from 1 species